GCGGACGGGUGAGUAAUGUCUGGGAAACUGCCUGAUGGAGGGGGAUAACUACUGGAAACGGUGGCUAAUACCGCAUAACGUCGCAAGACCAAAGAGGGGGACCUUCGGGCCUCUUGCCAUCAGAUGUGCCCAGAUGGGAUUAGCUUGUUGGUGAGGUAACGGCUCACCAAGGCGACGAUCCCUAGCUGGUCUGAGAGGAUGACCAGCCACACUGGAACUGAGACACGGUCCAGACUCCUACGGGAGGCAGCAGUGGGGAAUAUUGCACAAUGGGCGCAAGCCUGAUGCAGCCAUGCCGCGUGUAUGAAGAAGGCCUUCGGGUUGUAAAGUACUUUCAGCGGGGAGGAAGGUGUUGUGGUUAAUAACCGCAGCAAUUGACGUUACCCGCAGAAGAAGCACCGGCUAACUCCGUGCCAGCAGCCGCGGUAAUACGGAGGGUGCAAGCGUUAAUCGGAAUUACUGGGCGUAAAGCGCACGCAGGCGGUCUGUCAAGUCGGAUGUGAAAUCCCCGGGCUCAACCUGGGAACUGCAUUCGAAACUGGCAGGCUUGAGUCUUGUAGAGGGGGGUAGAAUUCCAGGUGUAGCGGUGAAAUGCGUAGAGAUCUGGAGGAAUACCGGUGGCGAAGGCGGCCCCCUGGACAAAGACUGACGCUCAGGUGCGAAAGCGUGGGGAGCAAACAGGAUUAGAUACCCUGGUAGUCCACGCCGUAAACGAUGUCUACUUGGAGGUUGUGCCCUUGAGGCGUGGCUUCCGGAGCUAACGCGUUAAGUAGACCGCCUGGGGAGUACGGCCGCAAGGUUAAAACUCAAAUGAAUUGACGGGGGCCCGCACAAGCGGUGGAGCAUGUGGUUUAAUUCGAUGCAACGCGAAGAACCUUACCUGGUCUUGACAUCCACAGAAGAAUCCAGAGAUGGAUUGGUGCCUUCGGGAACUGUGAGACAGGUGCUGCAUGGCUGUCGUCAGCUCGUGUUGUGAAAUGUUGGGUUAAGUCCCGCAACGAGCGCAAC
rnacentral:rRNA from 1 species